rnacentral:piRNA from 1 species
CUUGGUAUCUUACCUGCUUCCA